rnacentral:rRNA from 1 species
GAUGAACGCUGGCGGCGUGCCUAAUACAUGCAAGUCGAACGCGAGCCUUCGGGCUCGAGUGGCGAACGGGUGAGUAAUACGUAAGCAACCUGGCCUUUACAGGGGGAUAACUGAUGGAAACGUCAGCUAAGACCGCAUAGGUACAGAGAUCGCAUGAUAACUGUAUUAAAAGUGCUACGGGACUGGUAGAGGAUGGGCUUACGGCGCAUUAGCUAGUUGGAGGGGUAACGGCCCACCAAGGCGACGAUGCGUAGCCGACCUGAGAGGGUGACCGGCCACACUGGGACUGAGACACGGCCCAGACUCCUACGGGAGGCAGCAGUAGGGAAUUUUCGGCAAUGGGGGGAACCCUGACCGAGCAACGCCGCGUGAAGGAAGAAGGAAUUCGUUCUGUAAACUUCUGUUAUAAAGGAAGAACGGCACAUAUAGGGAAUGAUAUGUGAGUGACGGUACUUUAUGAGGAAGCCACGGCUAACUACGUGCCAGCAGCCGCGGUAAUACGUAGGUGGCGAGCGUUAUCCGGAAUUAUUGGGCGUAAAGAGGGAGCAGGCGGCAGCAAGGGUCUGUGGUGAAAGGCUGAAGCUUAACUUCAGUGUGCCAGAGAAACCGGGCAGCUAGAGUGCAGGAGAGGAUCGUGGAAUUCCAUGUGUAGCGGUGAAAUGCGUAGAUAUAUGGAGGAACACCAGUGGCGAAGGCGACGAUCUGGACUGCAACUGACGCUCAGUCCCGAAAGCGUGGGGAGCAAAUAGGAUUAGAUACCCUAGUAGUCCACGCCGUAA